rnacentral:rRNA from 1 species
AAACUAACAAGGAUUCCCCUAGUAACUGCGAGUGAAGCGGGAAGAGCUCAAAUUUAAAAUCUGGUGGUCUUUGGCCAUCCGAGUUGUAAUCUGGAGAAGUGUUUUCCGUGUCGGACCGUGUACAAGUCUCUUGGAACAGAGCGUCAUAGAGGGUGAGAAUCCCGUCCAUGACACGGACUACCGAUGCUAUGUGAUACACUCUCAAAGAGUCGAGUUGUUUGGGAAUGCAGCUCAAAAUGGGUGGUAAAUUCCAUCUAAAGCUAAAUAUUGGCGAGAGACCGAUAGCGAACAAGUACCGUGAGGGAAAGAUGAAAAGCACUUUGGAAAGAGAGUUAAACAGUACGUGAAAUUGUUGAAAGGGAAACGCUUGAAGUCAGUCGCGUUGUUCAGGACUCAGCCUUGUUUUUGCUUGGUGUACUUCCUGUUCAACGGGUCAACAUCGAUUUUGACCGGCGGAUAAAGGUGGGGGGAAUGUGGCACCUUCGGGUGUGUUAUAGCCCUCUAUUGCAUACGUCGGUUGGGAUUGAGGACCGCAGCGCGCCCUCUGGGCCAGGGGUUCGCCCCAUGUAACGCGCUUAGGAUGUUGGCAUAAUGGCUUUAAGCGACCCGUCU